rnacentral:tRNA from 1 species
GCGUCUGUAGCUCAGCGGAUAGAGCAACGGUUUCCGGUACCGUGUGGCGGGGGUUCGAUUCCCUCCAGACGCGCUA